GAGCACGUAGGUGGGUUUGUAAGUCAGACGUGAAAGCCUUCUGUUCAACGGAAGAAUUGCAUCUGAAACUACAAACCUUGAGUGUAGGAGGGGAGAAUGGAACUUCUGGUGGAGCGGUGAAAUGCGUAGAUAUCAGAAGGAACGCCGGCGGCGAAAGCGAUUCUCUGGCCUAUUACUGACACUCAGUGUGCGAAAGCUAGGGGAGCAAACGGGAUUAGAUACCCCGGUAGUCCUAGCCGUAAACGAUGGGCACUAAGUAGAGGGG
rnacentral:rRNA from 2 species